AAAUGCGAUAAGUAAUGUGAAUUGCAGAAUUCAGUGAAUCAUCGAAUCUUUGAACGCACCUUGCGCUCCUUGGUAUUCCUUGGAGCAUGCCUGUUUGAGUAUCAUGAAAUCUUCAAAGUAAACCUUUUGUUAACUCAAUUGGUUUCUACUUUGGUAUUGGAGGUCUUUGCAGCUUCACACCUGCUCCUCUUUGUUCAUUAGCUGGAUCUCAGUGUUAUGCUUGGUUCCACUCGGCGUGAUAAGUUAUCUAUCGCUGAGGACACUGUAAAAGGUGGCCAAGGUAAAUGCAGAUGAACCGCUUCUAAUAGUCCAUUGACUUGGACAAUACUUUUAUGAUCUGAUCUCAAAUCAGGUAGGACUACCCGCUGAACUUAAGC
rnacentral:misc_RNA from 1 species